AUCUAUAUAUCUAAAUUUAAGGGCUAGGCUCUUACCCUAGUAAUGUGAUUAACACUAUAGAUU
rnacentral:tRNA from 1 species